GGCCGGCAAGUCCGACCCUCACCUCCUCGUGGUGCUGGCUGGGGUGUGGAGGUGUUUUGCAUGCUAACAGGGAUGG
rnacentral:ribozyme from 1 species